rnacentral:rRNA from 1 species
GCUUGCUCCUGGAUUCAGCGGCGGACGGGUGAGUAAUGCCUAGGAAUCUGCCUGGUAGUGGGGGAUAACUUCCGGAAACGGGCGCUAAUACCGCAUACGUCCUGAGGGAGAAAGUGGGGGAUCUUCGGACCUCACGCUAUCAGAUGAGCCUAGGUCGGAUUAGCUAGUUGGUGGGGUAAAGGCCUACCAAGGCGACGAUCCGUAACUGGUCUGAGAGGAUGAUCAGUCACACUGGAACUGAGACACGGUCCAGACUCCUACGGGAGGCAGCAGUGGGGAAUAUUGGACAAUGGGCGAAAGCCUGAUCCAGCCAUGCCGCGUGUGUGAAGAAGGUCUUCGGAUUGGAAAGCACUUUAAGUUGGGAGGAAGGGCAGUAAGUUAAUACCUUGCUGUUUUGACGUUACCAACAGAAUAAGCACCGGCUAACUUCGUGCCAGCAGCCGCGGUAAUACGAAGGGUGCAAGCGUUAAUCGGAAUUACUGGGCGUAAAGCGCGCGUAGGUGGUUCAGCAAGUUGGAUGUGAAAUCCCCGGGCUCAACCUGGGAACUGCAUCCAAAACUACUGAGCUAGAGUACGGUAGAGGGUGGUGGAAUUUCCUGUGUAGCGGUGAAAUGCGUAGAUAUAGGAAGGAACACC